rnacentral:rRNA from 1 species
UACAGAGGUCCCAAGCGUUGUUCGGAUUCACUGGGCGUAAAGAGCUCGUAGGCGGUUCGUCGCGUCGGCUGUGAAAUCCCGAGGCUCAACCUCGGGUCUGCAGUCGAUACGGGCGGACUGGAGUUCGGCAGGGGAGACUGGAAUUCCUGGUGUAGCGGUGAAAUGCGCAGAGAUCAGGAGGAACACCGGUGGCGAAGGCGGGUCUCUGGGCCGAUACUGACGCUGAGGAGCGAAAGCGUGGGGAGCGAACAGG